CAAUAACAAGGCGGGCUGGACACCCCCCGCUGGGCACUGCUUCACGGCGUGCGCGGCGGGGCCGGCCCUGCUGAAUUAUUCACCCGUGUCUUUUGCGUACUUCUUGUUUCCUGGGUGGGCUCGCCCGCCCUCAGGACCAACCACAAACCUUUUGCAAUAGCAAUCAGCGUCAGUAACAACGUAAUUAAUUACAACUUUCAACAACGGAUCUCUUGGUUCUGGCAUCGAUGAAGAACGCAGCGAAAUGCGAUACGUAGUGUGAAUUGCAGAAUUCAGUGAAUCAUCGAAUCUUUGAACGCACAUUGCGCCCUUUGGUAUUCCAAAGGGCAUGCCUGUUCGAGCGUCAUUUGUACCCUCAAGCUUUGCUUGGUGUUGGGCGUCUUUUGUCUCCAGUUCGCUGGAGACUCGCCUUAAAGUCAUUGGCAGCCGGCCUACUGGUUUCGGAGCGCAGCACAAGUCGCGCUCUUUGCCAGCCAAGGUCAGCGUCCAGCAAGCCUUUUUUUCAACCUUUGACCUCGGAUCAGGUAGGGAUACCCGCUGAACUUAAGCAUAUCAAUAA
rnacentral:misc_RNA from 1 species